rnacentral:rRNA from 1 species
UACGGGGGGAGCAAGCGUUGUUCGGAUUUACUGGGCGUAAAGGGCGCGUAGGCGGCCAGCACAAGUCAGUUGUGAAAUCUCCGAGCUUAACUCGGAACGGUCAACUGAUACUGUGCGGCUAGAGUGCGGAAGGGGCAACUGGAAUUCUUGGUGUAGCGGUGAAAUGCGUAGAUAUCAAGAGGAACACCGGUGGCGAAGGCGGAUCUCUGGGCCUUACCUGACGCUCAGGUGCGAAAGCUAGGGGAGCGAACAGG